rnacentral:rRNA from 1 species
CUCGUAGUCGAAUUUGUGUCCCGCGCCGCCGGUUCAUCGCUCGCGGUGUUUAACUGGCGUGUCCGCGGGACGUCCUGCCGGUGGGCUCAGCCUCCUCCUCUCUGGGGUGGGGGCGGCCCAACUUCAAAUCCCACCGCGGUGCUCUUUGCCGAGUGUCGAGGUGGGCCGGCACGUUUACUUUGAACAAAUUAGAGUGCUUAAAGCAGGCUAAAACUUCGCCUGAAUACUGUGUGCAUGGAAUAAUGGAAUAGGACCUCGGUUCUAUUUUGUUGGUUUUCGGAACUCCGAGGUAAUGAUUAAUAGGAACGGAUGGGGGCAUUCGUAUUGCGACGUUAGAGGUGAAAUUCUUGGAUCGUCGCAAGACGGACAGAAGCGAAAGCAUUUGCCAAAAACGCUUUCAUUGAUCAAGAACGAAAGUUAGAGGUUCGAAGGCGAUCAGAUACCGCCCUAGUUCUAACCAUAAACGAUGCCAGCUAGCGAUCCGCCGACGUUCCUCCGAUGACUCGGCGGGCAGCUUCCGGGAAACCAAAGCUUUUGGGUUCCGGGGGAAGUAUGGUUGCAAAGCUGAAACUUAAAGGAAUUGACGGAAGGGCACCACCAGGAGUGGAGCCUGCGGCUUAAUUUGACUCAACACGGGAAACCUCACCAGGCCCGGACACCGGAAGGAUUGACAGAUUGACAGCUCUUUCUUGAUUCGGUGGGUGGUGGUGCAUGGCCGUUCUUAGUUGGUGGAGCGAUUUGUCUG